rnacentral:tRNA from 1 species
UCUUGAGUAGCUCACCGGUAGAGCAAGUGGCUGUUAACCACCAGGUAGUUGGUUCGAUUCCAGCCUUGAGAG